rnacentral:tRNA from 1 species
CCGACCCGAGACUCGCCCUUCUGGGCGACUCACCUUUCGACCGUCACCAGACGGUCACUAUUCAUGCAUGGUCUGUGUCCGACCACUCGCCGGCCUGGACACCGACGAACUACCACGGUUCACACAGACACCGAUCAUCCUUCCCACGUGGGAAGGUGGGCUCAUAGCUCAGCGGUAGAGUGCCUCCUUUGCAAGGAGGAUGCCCUGGGUUCGAAUCCCAGUGAGUCCAUGUCAGCCUCGGUCCGAAUCCGUCCCCUUAAGUGGAAGACGCGACUCGGAUUGAGUAGACGACGACCGAUGCACCAUCUCGGGAAACCGCGGAUGGGAAGGGUUCGACGGACACGCUCCUGCCUGGACGUGAUCCAAUGACGACCGUGUAUACGUGCGAUCCAGACGUCCACUGAACUCAUACGAGUUCGUGGAACGUCAGUGAACCAUAUACAGUCGGGUGACAUUUAGUCACUUGACACCGUCAGCGGUUCUUUAUUGAAUCGACUGACACACUACU